rnacentral:rRNA from 1 species
GAUGAACGCUAGCGGCAGGCUUAACACAUGCAAGUCGAGGGGUAUAGGUUUUCGGACCUAGAGACCGGCGCACGGGUGCGUAACGCGUAUGCAAUCUACCUUUCACAGAGGGAUAGCCCAGAGAAAUUUGGAUUAAUACCUCAUAGUAUAGCAGUUUCGCAUGAAACCACUAUUAAAGUUCCAACGGUGAAAGAUGGGCAUGCGUCCCAUUAGCUAGAUGGUAAGGUAACGGCUUACCAUGGCUACGAUGGGUAGGGGUCCUGAGAGGGAGAUCCCCCACACUGGUACUGAGACACGGACCAGACUCCUACGGGAGGCAGCAGUGAGGAAUAUUGGUCAAUGGACGCAAGUCUGAACCUGCCAUGCCGCGUGCAGGAUGACGGUCCUAUGGAUUGUAAACUGCUUUUGUACGAGAAGAAACAACAUUACGUGUAAUGUCUUGACGGUAUCGUAAGAAUAAGGAUCGGCUAACUCCGUGCCAGCCGCCGCCGUAAUAC